rnacentral:lncRNA from 1 species
ACUGUUAACCUAUGCACUUUCACUUCUGGAACUGAGCCCCCAAGGAUGUACCAGAAGCUAUAUGAGUUACAGAUCCUCAAGGUACUACUAGCCCAACAGCUGGAAAGGAUCUUUAUCAAGAAUCAAGGAUGUAUAAUCACUUAAUUAUUACAUUUCCGGACAUGUGGAAUAUGUGCUAUCAAUUACUCGUCAAGUUUCAUUUCUGAGGUCAAAGACUUCAGCAACUCCCUUCACUUCAACGAAUAAGCAAUUCCACGGCAAAGUUUGAGGGGAAAUGAAACUUCCAGCUAAGAUCUCCAGAAUAAACUUUGAUGAAUCAUGAAGAAAGGAUAAAUCAUGAGGAAGGGACCUUUAUAUUUCUUACCAGCUCUGAUUUGCUACUUACCUGGACCACCAUGGCAGCAGCAAUACCUACAAUUACAAAGAGAUAUUGGAACAAUUGUCCAGAGAGACCGAGAAUUCUCCGCUACCAUUGACACCAGUACUAGGAAGAGACCUGUCACCUGGAUGACAUGGGGUGCCUCUGAGCUUUGGAUGCAGAAGAGCUUGAGGCACUGCAAACAAAAAGGACAGUAAGCAGCUCUAUUUGGGAACUGGAAGCCUGAUGGAAAGGGAGGUGAACACUCUCCCCUCCUGUAAUUCUUUACUUGACUAGAGAAUUCACCAAUGCCCUGCUGAGGAAGGCACACAGAUGGUCCCAGAAUUACAUUGUAGUUUGAUUUGCAAGAUACUCUGGUUUGCUUUUGCACGGGUUAAUUGGUAAGCUCUAUGUAGUUCAUUUCAGAGUUUUCUCAAUUAAUUUUUUUGGCUGCCUUUGUAAGUUUUCAAGUCCACAAUCUGGUUGCUAAGGAGAAGUUUCUGUAUCACUUGGACCCCACACUGACAUUCAAGUUAAAAAUUUGUAGAGUGGACCAGGUAAGUCACACCCCAGCUGAGGGCCAGAGUGAAGCCUGAAAUUAUGAUUGUGCAUUAUAAACUAAAGUGCAAAAUCAACAUUUAUUUUGUUGCUGGAAUUUUUCAGAGUCAGAUUCUAAGUAUUCCUUUUGUCACUGUCAGCAACAGCCUUCUAACAGUGUUUCCU